GUAUGAAUCUGCGUUGGAGAGAUAAAAUGAAUAUGCGUAUCAAUUCCUCCCGCUGUUAAGAUCAUGCCUUCACCUGCUAAAGCUUCUGUUGAGCUUCCCACGAUCAUAUCAGGAUCAACUCCAUCCAUAAUGUGUGGAUUUCCAGCUUUUCCAAUUCCUGAGAUCUUUCCAUCCUUUAUUCCGAUAUCAGCUUUAUAAAUUCCUGUAUGAUCGAUCACUGUCGCACUCGUGAUCACGAGAUCUAAGCAUUGUUCAUCUAAAUAUGUUACUGAUUGACCCAUUCCAUCCCUU
rnacentral:sRNA from 1 species